rnacentral:piRNA from 1 species
UGGGUGUUGGCUAAAUGUUUGCAGAUUAAGC